UUAGUAUAUAAUUGAGUGGAAAGAAUCAGAAGAACAAUAUAUGAGAACACAAAAAGAUUUCAGAACUUUGACUACAGCAUCAACCAAUCUUGACUUUAAAAGAUUGAUAAUGAAGAAUAUAUUGUACGUCAGGAUAGAGAGUUAAUGAACCAGAGGCAGAGAAUUAGACAAAGAUUCUCAAAUAUGGCCAAUAUCUUGAAUUGUGUUUUACAUAUACAUAUAUGUGUGUGUGUGUGUGUGUGUGUAACAUAAAGGGGGGAUUUUAACUGAGAGGGAGAAUAGUUAGGUGUAUUAUUUAAUUUAACUGUAAACAAUUGCAAAGCAACUUAAUUUUUUGGAUUGAUGUAUAAUUAUAAGUUUAUACUGUAACUUAAAAUAAAUAUUAAAAUAGUAAAAGAAUUCAACAAACAAAGAAAAGAUGAGAUAUUGUGUUAAUAAGAACUUCAGGGAGACAGUAAGGAUAAUUGCAACUGAUCUGUAUAUUCCCAACUGUGAGUCAGCUUGAUCUCUUCUUCUUAUUCACUUUAUUUCACACACACACACACACACACAUACACACACACACACACACACACACAACUAUCUUUUUGUGAACUACCUGAUUAAAUAUAUUCCAUCAUCUGAGUAAUAUCCUUUUAAAAAUCUACUUUAUUCUUUAUUUUUCAAGUGUAGGUGUUCGAAUGUUCUUUUUCUAAUGAACAUGGACGUCACUGAAGAAGUCCUUAGUAUUUCAGGGCUCAUUAACAUUAAUACAAUAUCAUCUGCCAAAGCAAUCUUAGAGAAAUCUUGUCAUCAAUAAGGAAUCCUUCUAAUUGAACUUUGGGCAGGGUAUUCAUUGUGACACUGAUGAAUAACUAGUGGGGCUAUCUUCUUGUUUUUGGCACUUCAUGAUAUUGAUGCUGAGCAGAUAAUUGAAGAAAUAGCUACUCUCCUAUUUUCUACUCUGCCUCCAUUGCUGCUACUGCCAUUCUAUGUCCCAACUGGAUCACCAGUCACAAUUUCUGGGAGUAGCUGUGCUACUGACCUCAGCACUUCUCAGGACCACAUCUUCAUUUUGGUGUAUCACUGGAGGAAGGGUGAAGAAAUCGAUAUAAAUGCAAAAGUCAGGCUUGAUUUUCCUUCAAUGCAAAGGAGGCUGGUUUUGAGUUUUUAUGGAGAUGAUUGCUUUGUGACCUCAGUAGACUAUAACUUCUGCCAAGGAUGAGGCUGAACAAACAAACAGGUGCCAGUGUUAGGCAGUCCCUAUGAGCAAAGCAUCUUGAAAAAUAACUUCAAACCUGACUGACAAAGAGGACAGGCUGGGAUGGGAGAUAAGGAGCCUCCUGCAGGCUGAAUCUUCAAGAUCUCUGGUAAGGUUGGUG
rnacentral:lncRNA from 1 species